rnacentral:rRNA from 1 species
GACGAACGCUGGCGGCGUGCCUAAUACAUGCAAGUCGAGCGAAGUUUUUCUGGUGCUUGCACUAGAAAAACUUAGCGGCGAACGGGUGAGUAACACGUAAAGAACCUGCCUCAUAGACUGGGACAACUAUUGGAAACGAUAGCUAAUACCGGAUAACAGUAUUUCUCGCAUGAGAGAUAUUUAAAAGUUGGUUAUGCUAACACUAUGAGAUGGCUUUGCGGUGCAUUAGCUAGUUGGUGGGGUAAAGGCCCACCAAGGCGACGAUGCAUAGCCGACCUGAGAGGGUGAUCGGCCACACUGGGACUGAGACACGGCCCAGACUCCUACGGGAGGCAGCAAUAGGGAAUCUUCCGCAAUGGGCGAAAGCCUGACGGAGCAACGCCGCGUGAGUGAAGAAGGAUUUCGGUUCGUAAAGCUCUGUUGUUAGGGAAGAAUGGAUAUGUAGUAACUAUACAUGUAAGAGACGGUACCUAACCAGAAAGCCACGGCUAACUACGUG